rnacentral:rRNA from 1 species
CAGAGGGUGCAAGCGUUAAUCGGAAUUACUGGGCGUAAAGCGUGCGUAGUCGGUUAUCUAAGUCGGGUGUGAAAUCCCCGGGCUCAACCUGGGAAUUGCAUUCGAUACUGGAUAGCUAGAGUUCGGCAGAGGGAAGCGGAAUUUCGGGUGUAGCGGCGAAAUGCGUAGAUAUCCGAAGGAACAUCAGUGGCGAAAGCGGCUUCCUGGACCAGAACUGACGAUCAGGCACGAAAGCGUGGGGAGCAAACAGGAUUAGAUACCCUGGUAGUCCACGCCAUAAACGAUGACAACUAGACGUUGGGAGGGUAAGCCUCACAGUGUCGCAGCUAACGCGUUAAGUUGUCCGCCUGGGGAGUACGGCCGCAAGGUUG